UUUAUUAGUUGAUAGUAUAAUGUGUAAUGUCAGAUUUUAGCUAAUGCUUCAGUGGCUAAUAUUUCUUUUGCUGAGCACUUAUAUGUCUGUGUCCUUCUCUGGUCUUCACUUGGAGAACUAGUAUGGAAAAGAUUUACUGGUUAUCUAGGUUCUAUGUACACAGAAGGAGGUGCUUUUUCAUCCCCAGAUUGAAGCUUCCAAAUUAAUCUCCUUUCCAAUACCCAGCUAUACUGAUCUAAAGAUGAAGCCACAAGCCUCCUCUUGCAGAAACCAGGGAAGAGAAUAAAAUUCCUCUGUGGCAUUUGACAAGACUGUCUGUAUGUGAAGUCCUACACUGAGGCAGAAUUUCCUGAUUUAUGCGCAUCACCCCUUGUCCUGUCACUGAGAAGAGCCUGGCUCCAUGGUCUUUAUUCCCUCACCAGGUACAUUAUGGACAAUAUCAUCACCAUCAUCAUCCUCUUUUUGGAUUGGAGUGAUGGUCUUGACAGCAGCUGCUUCCCAUCACCAAGGAGAUGAGACAAAAUAGUCUGGAGCAUGACAUAAAUA